UUAUUUGCAUAUAAAGGCCUACUUUGUCCUCCCAUAAUUUAUGUAGUACAAUCUCACAGCAGGAGUGUAAAUACAUACUAUGGUUGAACUAUAAUUUCAUAACAUAAAAAUCAGCGAGUGGGCUAGUAGUAGAUUACGUUGACUCUAUACGGCAAGCAAUUUUUGUGCACUACCACUAUCCAGACGCCCAACUGGUCAGCGCUGGUGGUUCUUGUUCCACAUGUAGUUCCCUUCUGCCAUCUUCAUGAGCAUAGAUCUUUUUCUUGUACUAUGUUUUUGCAACAAAUAUACAAACCAUGGAAGAAACAUAGCAUCAGCUUGAAGACCAUAUGUAACAUAACACCAGCUUCUCUGAACUCCUCUAUGCAUCCAGUCUCCCAUGUGUAAAGCAGUCACUUGGAAACAUUCUGGAUGAUUAAGCAUGGAGCUUUAGAAACAUAACCUGAAGAAGUAUGUCAGCCAUACAUAGGUGAAUUUACCAAAUGUAGAGAAUAAACAUAAUCAUGCACAUCUAUAACUUGUAUAUACACAGAAGAAAAGAACUCAAUUAUUUGACCGAAAUUAUCCAUUCUAAUAAACCACCGGUGUAAUGCACUUUCAGAUGUGAUAUAACAUAAUGAAGCAUGUCAGCCAUACAUUGGUAAAGUUAACAAAUGAAGAAAAUUAUCCGAAUCAUACACAUCUCUAACAUAUAUACACACUGAGAAAAGACACGGUUCAGCUAUGGGGCAGAAAUUUAUUUCUGAUAACACCAUUGGUCUAAUGCACUUUCAGUUAUGUGAUAUAAUAAUAAUUUGGAAUUUAGGAUUAGCAUAUACCUUUUCCAUGAGUGUUAAAAAUACUGAAUAAGCAGCUUGUUUGCUUCGAGCAACCCUGUUUUCAGCUAUGUAACUCUGAAUUUCUAGCCAUUAAUUCAACCCUAGAGAUGUAACAUGGCCCCAAUACAAAAAUCACUAACAUCUGUCAUGAUAAGCUUUGUAAGUCUACACAAUUGCUCAGCUGAAAAUUCUACAGGGCAUAAUAGAUGCACCUUUUUCAUACAAUGUACAUAAAUCCAGUACAACGAAACAGAUUUACUCUUUGAAUGUAGUAGCUCUAACCAAGACAUCGUAACUCAUGGCCUGAAAGAAAAUAGAACCUGGAUAAGAUCAAAUCAACUGAUAAGAGACUCAUCUCCUUGGUUUUUUUUGGCUGUCACCUGACUUACCUUGAAAAUGGAGCUCACCCACUUGAUAGAAAUUGUUUACCAUAUUAUCUCUUAGCUCUCUCAUCUAACUGAAGCCUGAAAUAAGAUAAUACUGAAAAAAAUACAAAACAUAGGCAUACCCAAUCUCAUCAUCGGAAAGGAAAUUUAUCUCAAUAUUAUUCUUUAUCUCAGCAAAAAUAUGACUAAAAUGGCAACUGCAAAGAGGAGAAACAAUUAUUAGGAGCUCUUAGCUUAAAACUUAUAUGUGAAGUAUAUUAAUCAGUAUAACACAAAAUAUCAAUAAACGUACACUAUAUUAGAACCUUUAACUUGCAUAGCCAUGUAAAACGUAAUAUUACUACAGCUAGCUUAGUUAAAGUACUCAGUGGUGUCACACAUGGCGAAGUGAAGAUUUGGUAAUUUCAGUAUUCAGAUACUAAAAUGUUCAGAUAUGGUUCAAAUUACGUGGACUAUUUUUAUUUUUAUUUUGCAGCUCAGAUCGCAAAUAAAAGAACUCAAGCUAGGUCAUAACAUGGCUCCAUAGAGUAAAUCAUCACAUACAGGAGAGUGAUCUAACAUGUUCAGAUAUGGUUCAAACUUACGUGGGCUAAUUUUGGUGUGUAUAGCUCAGAUCACAAAUUAAAAGAAGUCAAGCUGGGUUGCAAAAUGGCUCGAAAUGAGUAAAUAAUCACAUACAAGAGAGUGAUCUUGAAUCUUGUGUUUCGUCUUCUGUACUUGACCCAGCUGAGGACGAAAUAUAACAUGUCAGUACGAUCACAAAGACAUUCAAACAAAACGUGUGCAGCAAGGCUAUCAAAUACCCGAAACAUCAGAGUAGAGAAGGCAAGGCACCCUUGCGUAUUCACAAACAAAAAUGGCUAGCAAGCUGUAACAGAGGGCCUGCUUCCCUUAGAACACCACAAAAAAUAUAUCCAUCCAUUUUGGCUGCUUGGGUCAAAUUAGGAACCAAUGUAUACCUUUUUAAAACUAAAAACUAACAAAAUUCUUCGCACAUGAACAACUA
rnacentral:lncRNA from 1 species